rnacentral:rRNA from 1 species
AUUGAACGCUGGCGGCAGGCCUAACACAUGCAAGUCGAACGGCAGCACAGGAGAGCUUGCUCUCUGGGUGGCGAGUGGCGGACGGGUGAGGAAUACAUCGGAAUCUACUCUGUCGUGGGGGAUAACGUAGGGAAACUUACGCUAAUACCGCAUACGACCUACGGGUGAAAGCAGGGGACCUUCGGGCCUUGCGCGAUUGAAUGAGCCGAUGUCGGAUUAGCUAGUUGGCGGGGUAAAGGCCCACCAAGGCGACGAUCCGUAGCUGGUCUGAGAGGAUGAUCAGCCACACUGGAACUGAGACACGGUCCAGACUCCUACGGGAGGCAGCAGUGGGGAAUAUUGGACAAUGGGCGCAAGCCUGAUCCAGCCAUACCGCGUGGGUGAAGAAGGCCUUCGGGUUGUAAAGCCCUUUUGUUGGGAAAGAAAUCCAGCUGGCUAAUACCCGGUUGGGAUGACGGUACCCAAAGAAUAAGCACCGGCUAACUUCGUGCCAGCCGCCGCCGUAA